CUCCACAAACCCUAACCCUAGCUCCUAUUUCUUCUAAACCGAGCCCAGCCGCCUUUCCUCCCUCCUUUGUGUGCGCCGCGCACUUUCCAGCCAUCGGCGACAAGUCUCCGGCCAACCACCACCACCAUUUUCUCCCUCUCUCUUAUUUUCUCUACCAACACCACCACCCUUCUCUCCUUCUCUACCCGAAAGCAAGGCAGAGCUCACCCCUCACCCACGGUCCCCUCUCCGGUGUUAUCCU
rnacentral:lncRNA from 1 species